UACGUAGGUGGCAAGCGUUGUCCGGAUUUACUGGGCGUAAAGAGCGCGCAGGCGGUCGUUCAAGUCGCGUGUGAAAGCCCCCCGGCUCAACUGGGGAGGGUCACGCGAUACUGAUCGACUCGAAGGCAGGAGAGGGAAGUGGAAUUCCCGGUGUAGUGGUGAAAUGCGUAGAUAUCGGGAGGAACACCAGUGGCGAAGGCGACUUCCUGGCCUGUUCUUGACGCUGAGGCGCGAAAGCUAGGGGGAGCAAACGGG
rnacentral:rRNA from 1 species